rnacentral:rRNA from 1 species
ACAUAGGACCAUAGCUGCUAGAAAGAUCUGGAUCCCGUUUGAUCUCCGAGCGAUAAACUAGCAAGCGCUGGAUUAGUAGUUGGGUCGGGGACGACCAGCGAAUACCCGGUGUCCUAUGUU